AUUUAAAUAGCUUAUAUAGAGCAUGAUAUUGAAGAUAUCAGAGAAGUUUUUUAACUUUUAAAUA
rnacentral:tRNA from 2 species